GACAGAGGGUGCAAACGUUGCUCGGAAUUACUGGGCGUAAAGGGUUUGUAGGCUGCUUGGAAAGUCGGAUGUGAAAGCCCCGGGCUCAACCCGGGAAGUGCACUCGAAACUUCCGAGCUUGAGUUCUGGAGAGGAUAGCGGAAUUCUCGGUGUAGAGGUGAAAUUCGUAGAUAUCGAGAGGAACACCGGUGGCGAAGGCGGCUAUCUGGACAGUGACUGACGCUGAGACGCGAAAGCGUGGGGAGCAAACAGG
rnacentral:rRNA from 1 species